GCCAGCAUGGCAUAGUGGUUUGAGCAUUGCAUUACAACUCUGAAGACCAGGGUUCAAUUUCCAGCUUGGCC